CUCACUCACUCACACACACACACACACACACACACACACACACACACGCACACACACACACACACACACACACACCUGCCAUUUGACGACACAAACUCCCCCUGCAUAGCGCCUGUUCAGCAAGGUGUGGAAAGUGAUGCAGCUUCUGCUAAAGAGCAUCGUUCCAUUGCAAUCUCCAGGUUGUAUCAGCAGCAACUCCCUGUGUAUCCAUCCACUUAAAAUCAUGAAUGAAUCCACUUCCUGCAGCGUUUUGGAGAGAAUAUUCUGGAUCCUGUCAGUAUUGAUGCUGUGACCUCUGUUUAUUGAUCCCUCAAUAGCAAAUCCUUUCUCGUGUAAAACCCUGCUACAAUCUUCAACGUUUGAUAGGUCAUCUCUUUUCCCUUCUCUGUUCCGAGAGGACUCCUAACUUUUCCAAAUUACUCUUUACUGUAAUUCUAGACACUCUCUAAAUCAAUUCUUCGGCUUGAAGUCUGCAGAAGGGUCCCGACCCGAAACAUCACCCAUCCUUUUUCAGACAGAGAUGCUGCCUGACCCGCUGAGUUACUCCAGAACUUUGUGUCUAUCUUAGGCUUUUGACAUCCUUCCUUUAAUGUAGUUUAGAGAUACAGCGUGGAAACAGGCCCUUCGGCCCACCGAGUCAGCACCGAUCAGCGAUCCCCGCACACUAACAGUUGAGCCGUGGGCCAAUCAGUUGCAUGGUGCUUUUGUGAACAGCACCACAAACAUUGGGCCACAUGACCCUUUGAACAUUGUAAACCUUGAGAGAGAAGUUUGCUUUGUUGACAUCUUGCUCUUCUUUCCCACCCCCCAGGUUUGGCGUACUCUGAAUUGUUCUCUCCCCUUGCCAAGCUGUGGGGCUGGAUCUCGCUGCUGUCUCCAGAAAAAGCUCUGCCCCUGGUGUACUGGUGGUUGGGCACAGCCUGGUACCAGUUAACAACGGCCAUCUCCUUGAUCGAUGUCUUUACUCUGUCCAGGUGUUGGCCUCUUGAUGACAUCCACAGGUAUCUGGUCUCGUGCCGAGAAGCUGGGUGUGCUGGAAAGCACUCAGGUGAGCCCCUGACCGUCCCAUCCUUGUGCACUCUCGCUCUUCCUCCUGGAGCCCUUCACCUCCGUUGGUCACGGCUGCCCGUGAGCAGUCCGGGUGUCAGGGGUUAUGGGGAGAAGGCAGGAGAAUGCGGUUAGGAGGGAGAGAUAGAUCAGCCAUGAUUGAAUGGCGGAGUAGAUGGGCUGAAUGGCCUAAUUCUGCUCCUAUCAUUUAUGACCUUAUUACCCUGGAGCUGCCCUGGCUGCAGGAUCCCUCGCAGUCCAUUCACCCCUUUCCCACAUUCUGGUACAGCCACCAGCGACCCAGUAACUUGCACAAUCACAGGAGGUCCUCGGCACAAUCAUGUCCAUCCCUGGGACUCCAGGAUAGUCUUGGUGUUGUAGUCAUGCAACAUGUUGUUAGUUGGCCUUGCCAAGCAAGUUGGAAAACUGGGCUUCCCGCAAGACAGUGGGGGUGUCACUGUGAAGUGCUUGUUAAUUGUCUCUAGUAACAUCGUAUUAACACAAUGUGUCACCAAUUGUGUUUUGACCUUCAAGUAUUACUGGAGGUAUUCACAGAUAAUUUCUUAAAGCUGUCUGAUGAGGGUACAGUUAUCAUUUGAACUAAUUGGAUGUAUUGGUGGAUGGGAAAGAUUUAAACAUGGCUGGCUUGCAGGUAAGUCCUUCAUUCAGGUCACUCGCGUUAUUCAGUAUUUCUUCCCCUCGGUUCUUCUGUUUGCCUAUCUUUGUUUCAGUUUUAUUUAUUGAUCACAUUGCAGCUUUUGAAAGAUUCAAGUGGGUAUCAGAAGUUUUCUAAGGGCUGAAUCGGCCGAUUCACGGGCCCUUUCAUUGCCCGGCGCAGCUUAAAAUCAAUCUGCUGCAUCGAGGCGAUCGAGGCUCCCGAUGUUGAAGCCCCCGCCGGCCGAUUUUAAACCGCGCCAGCCGAUGAAAGACCCCGCGAACGGGCCGAUUCAAGCCCCAUGAUUCGGGACGGACGAAUCUGCUGUUGCUGGAGUUCAGAGUCGGUCACCAACCAGGUCGGCUCCCGAUGUUACCAUCCACAGGGUCCACGGCCAAAGCCUCGCGUGUGUAUGUGCGUGUGUGUCCGUGUGUGUGAGUGUGUGCGCAAGCGCGUGUCCACCAAGGAAUUGUGCCCCCCCCCCCCAUGUUUUGAUAGCGAUUUCCGCCCCUGCGCACAACUGCACAGACUUGCUAGACAUUAAAUGCUGGAGUAACUCAGCAGGUCAGGCAGAUUCACUGGCGAAAGGAAUGUGACGUUCCUGGAAGUUUUCAACCUGAAACGUCACCUAGUCUUUCUCUCUGGAGAUGCAACUUCACCCGAUGGGUUACUCCAGUUUUUGUGUCUAUCUUCGGUUUAAACCAGCAUCUGCAGUUCCCUCCUAUGCAUUCUGACAGCUUGCUAGCUGGUUUCUCGACACAAGCCGUGCUGUGCAGCUUUCAGCUCCCCGCCCAUGUGUGUGGUUUGCACACCCUUCGUUAGCUGCCCGCUUCUGUGUGGCCAGCUCACCUCCCUCGUGAGAAAAAUCCAUGCGCCAACUCAUACUUAUUUAGAUCCAAAGCAAUCUUUGUCAUUUGAUGGUUACCGUACAUGGUAUGGAUGUCUGCUCCGGUCAGUAAAUGUGGAAUCAAGGGCGGUACGGUGGCAUAGUGGUAGAGUUACUGCCUUAUAGUGCUUGCAGCACCAGAGACCCGGGUUCAAUCCUGAUUACGGGUGCUGUCUGUACGAAGUUUGUACGUUCUCUCCGUGACCAUGAGGGUUUCUCCGAGAUCUUUGCUUUCCUCCCUCACUCCAAAGACGUACGGGUUUGUUGGUUAAUUGGCUUGGUAUAAAUUGUCCCUAGUGUGU